rnacentral:rRNA from 1 species
GACUAACGCUGGCGGCGUGCCUAAUACAUGCAAGUCGAACGGGAUUCUUUGAUCAGCUUGCUGAGAGAAGGAUCUAGUGGCGGACGGGUGAGUAACGCGUGGGAAUCUGCCUCUUACUGGGGGAUAACAGUGGGAAACUACUGCUAAUACCGCAUAAGAUCUUCGGAUGAAAGGUGCAACUGCACCGGUAAGAGAUGAGCCCGCGUCCCAUUAGCUAGUUGGUGAGGUAAAGGCUCACCAAGGCGACGAUGGGUAGCCGGCCUGAGAGGGUGAACGGCCACACUGGGACUGAGACACGGCCCAGACUCCUACGGGAGGCAGCAGUAGGGAAUCUUCCGCAAUGGGCGCAAGCCUGACGGAGCAACGCCGCGUGGGUGAAGAAGGCCUCGGUUGUAAGCCUGUCUUAUGGAGAAGUCAGUGACGGUACCAUAGGAGGAAGCCACGGCUAACUACGUGCCAGCAGCCGCGGUAAGCUACGUAGA